UGGGGAAUAUUGGACAAUGGGCGCAAGCCUGAUCCAGCAAUACCGCGUGAAUGAUGAAGGUCUUCGGAUUGUAAAGUUCUUUUAGUGGAGAAGAUAAUGACGGUAUCCACAGAAAAAGCACCGGCUAACUUCGUGCCAGCAGCCGCGGUAAUACGAAGGGUGCUAGCGUUGUUCGGAAUCAUUGGGCGUAAAGCGUAUGUAGGCUGUUUGGUAAGUCAGCUGUGAAAUCCCCAGGCUUAACUUGGGAAUUGCAGUUGAAACUGCCUUGCUAGAAUCUGGUGGGGGAUAGUGGAAUUCUUAGUGUAGGGGUGAAAUCCGUAGAUAUUAAGAGGAACACCGGCGGCGAAAGCGACUAUCUACACCAGCAUUGACGCUGAGAUACGAAAGCGUGGGGAGCAAA
rnacentral:rRNA from 1 species